rnacentral:rRNA from 1 species
CAAUAGCGUAUAUUAAAGUUGUUGCAGUUAAAAAGCUCGUAGUUGGAUUUCGGGACGGGCCAGUUGGUCCGCCGCAAGGUGUGUUACUGACUGGUCUGUCCUUCUUCGCAAAGACUGCGUGUGCUCUUCGUUGAGUGUGCGUAGGAUUUACGACGUUUACUUUGAAAAAAUUAGAGUGUUCAAAGCAGGCUAUCGCUUGAAUACAUGAGCAUGGAAUAAUGGAAUAGGACUUUGGUCCUAUUUUGUUGGUUUCUAGGACCGAAGUAAUGAUUAAGAGGGACAAUUGGGGGCAUCCGUAUUUCGUUGUCAGAGGUGAAAUUCUUGGAUUUACGAAAGACGAACAACUGCGAAAGCACUUGCCAAGAGUGUUUUCAUUAA